rnacentral:rRNA from 1 species
AUAUCAAUAAGCGGAGGAAAAGAAACCAACAGGGAUUGCCUCAGUAACGGCGAGUGAAGCGGCAACAGCUCAAAUUUGAAAUCUGGCCUCUGGCCCGAGUUGUAAUUUGCAGAGGAUGUUUCUGGCGAGGUGCCUUCCGAGUUCCCUGGAACGGGACGCCAUAGAGGGUGAGAGCCCCGUCUGGUUGGAUACCGAGCCUCUGUAAAGCUCCUUCGACGAGUCGAGUAGUUUGGGAAUGCUGCUCUAAAUGGGAGGUAUAUGUCUUCUAAAGCUAAAUAUUGGCCAGAGACCGAUAGCGCACAAGUAGAGUGAUCGAAAGAUGAAAAGCACUUUGAAAAGAGGGUUAAAUAGUACGUGAAAUUGUUGAAAGGGAAGCACUUAUGACCAGACUUGGCCCCGGUGAAUCAUCCAGCGGUUCCCGCUGGUGCACUUUGCCGGGGUUCAGGCCAGCAUCAGUUCGCUCCGGGGGAUAAAGGCUUUGGGAAUGUGGCUCCCUCGGGAGUGUUAUAGCCCAUUGCGCAAUACCCUGUGGCGGGCUGAGGUUCGCGCUUUAUGCAAGGAUGCUGGCAUAAUGGUCAUCAGUGA